rnacentral:rRNA from 1 species
UGGGGAAUAUUGCGCAAUGGGGGGAACCCUGACGCAGCCAUGCCGCGUGAAUGAAGAAGGCCUUCGGGUUGUAAAGUUCUUUCGGUAUUGAGGAAGGUUGAUGUGUUAAUAGCACAUCAAAUUGACGUUAAAUACAGAAGAAGCACCGGCUAACUCCGUGCCAGCAGCCGCGGUAAUACGGAGGGUGCGAGCGUUAAUCGGAAUAACUGGGCGUAAAGGGCACGCAGGCGGUUAUUUAAGUGAGGUGUGAAAGCCCCGGGCUUAACCUGGGAAUUGCAUUUCAGACUGGGUAACUAGAGUACUUUAGGGAGGGGUAGAAUUCCACGUGUAGCGGUGAAAUGCGUAGAGAUGUGGAGGAAUACCGAAGGCGAAGGCGGCCCCUUGGGAAUGUACUGACGCUCAUGUGCGAAAGCGUGGGGAGCAAACAGGAUUAGAUACCCUGGUAGUCCACGCUGUAAACGCUGUCGAUUUGGGGGUUGGGGUUUAACUCUGGCGCCCGUAGCUAACGUGAUAAAUCGACCGCCUGGGGAGUACGGCCGCAAGGUUA